AACGGGUGAGUAAAAGGUAGGGACCUACCCCGAGGACAGAGAUAGCUACUGGAAACGGUAGGUAAACUCUGAUAAGCCCGAGAGGGGAAAGUGGGAGUCAGCCUUGGGAUGGACCUACUAUCCAUCAGGUAGUUGGUGAGGUAAAGGCUUACCAAGCCGAUGACGGAUAACCGGUGUGAGAGCAUGUACGGUCACAAGGGCACUGAGACACGGGCCCUACUCCUACGGGAGGCAGCAGUGGGGAAUAUUGGACAAUGGGCGAAAGCCUGAUCCAGCGACGCCGCGUGAAGGAAGAAGUCCUUCGGGAUGUAAACUUCUGAACUAAUCGAAUAAGAGGGUAGUGGACACACUACAGAAGAAGGUAGAUUAGGAAAAGUCCCGGCUAACUACGUGCCAGCAGCCGCGGUAAGACGUAGGGGGCGAGCGUUGCCCGGAAUCACUGGGUGUAAAGGGGACGUAGGCGGAUGAUCAAGUCAUCUGUGAAAAGAUUGCUCAACGAUUGGCUUGCGGAUGAAACUGGUCAUCUUGGGCGUAGCAGAGGUAGACGGAAUUACCUGAGUAGGGGUGAAAUCCGCAGAUACAGGUAAGAAGGCCGGUGAAGAAGUUGGUCUACUGGGCUACAGCUGACGCUGAGGUCCGAAAGCCAGGGGAGCGAACCGGAUUAGAUACCCGGGUAGUCCUGGCUGUAAACGAUGCUCACUAGGUGUAGGGAGCGAAAGACUCUCUGUGCUGAAGCGAACGCGCUAAGUGAGCCACCUGGGGAGUACGUCCGCAAGGAUGAAACUCAAAGGAAUUGACGGGGGUCCGCACAAGCGGUGGAGCAUGUGGUUUAAUUCGAAGCUAACCGAAGAACCUUACCAGGGAUUGAC
rnacentral:rRNA from 1 species